rnacentral:rRNA from 1 species
UCCAGACUCCUACGGGAGGCAGCAGUGGGGAAUAUUGCACAAUGGGGGAAACCCUGAUGCAGCGACGCCGCGUGAGUGAAGAAGUAAUUCGUUAUGUAAAGCUCUAUCAGCAGGGAAGAAAAUGACGGUACCUGAGUAAGAAGCACCGGCUAAAUACGUGCCAGCAGCCGCGGUAAUACGUAUGGUGCAAGCGUUAUCCGGAUUUACUGGGUGUAAAGGGAGCGUAGACGGCCAGACAAGUCUGAAGUGAAAAUCCAGCGCUUAACGUUGGAAGUGCUUUGGAAACUGCCGGGCUAGAGUGCAGGAGGGGCAGGCGGAAUUCCUAGUGUAGCGGUGAAAUGCGUAGAUAUUAGGAGGAACACCAGUGGCGAAGGCGGCCUGCUGGACUGCAACUGACGUUGAGGCUCGAAGGCGUGGGGAGCAAACAGGAUUAGAUACCCGAGUAC